GACUUCUCUUGCUUUGUACAGUUGAUCCUCGGUUUUACCCUCGCUGGGCACGCGUGUCCUUCAUCGCUGGCUUCUAGUUUGAUUUCUCUGCUUUUUCGUUGUCUACCUUUCGUUUUGCUUCUCUCUCUCUCCAUUUCCUGCACUCACUUUUUUUCCUCUCGCCGAUUGUCGACGCCAGUUUUUCUUGCCCAAAAUCUCCUGCGCUCUUGAGAAAUUCUUAUUGAAAGCCCCCAGCCCUUCAAGUUUCUGCCAUUAUUGAAUUCGAUCGGAAUCCAUUUUUUUCUCGCAUAACCUGGUGUUUCCUAGAAAAGCUGGAGUUCGAAUUUUCGGGUUUUUGCAUGCAAGCUUGGAAGCCCUUUCUGAUCAAGAUCAAGAAAUCAAGAUUCAAAGAUAAUAUGCCACCAAUCACAGGACUCUGAAUUCCUUUCUGGAACCCUGUUGCUGCACUGAAUCAUCAUAUUUUGGAAGUAGAUUUUUAUUUUUUGGUUCUCUGUGCUUUGCGGUUUUGUGUACAGAUUUAGUUGAACAUGGGGAAAUCAUAGCUACUCUUCCUGGAAAAGCUGAUGCGAAGAACCAUUUGAAUGGUACUAUAUGUCAGAUAUCGAAGCUGGUCUUGGUUUGAAGAGGAACCACUUGAUUGCUCCCUCGCUUUUGGCUGAAAAUGACCAUGAUUUGAAUGGAGUUCAAUGGCUUGAUACAACUCUUUGUUUUGGUCAAACGUUUAGUGAAGAUGAGAUAAAUAGGUUAGGUGAAAUAGGCAGUUGCGAUGCUUCUGUCUUUCAAGGUGGCAUCCCAACAGCAAAAGAGCUCAUUUCAAGUCUUCCUGUGAAUUCUUUAGCAACGCAGUUGGUGACAGCUACAUAAAAGUUAAGAGAGGUUCAAAUGCAGUUGCUCUUCAUGUUAUAUGAUGAGGUUGAAUAGCGGAAGUCCAAAUGUACACUUCACUGGAAGAAAGAUUGUGUGACAUAGAUCCAGGUUGCGAAUUUGUAUGCUCAUGUGGAAGAAUGCUCUGUUGGUCGGACGACAUUGACUUAACUAAUGGACAUGGACAGAAGACAUGGUACGGCACUAAAUUCAGACAUGCAAGAUUGUGAGAUCAGACCCCAAGAAAAGAGCUAGAGCAGGGAUCCAGAUAACAAAGGGGCCAAGGCAGAGUCAUGAGAGCCCACAAGGAGCAACUUGAGGAAAGUGUCGAUCAAAACUUUUGUAUGUAACCAUUUUCCAAUUCAGUGUAAAUAGUAAUGUUUUGAAACGCAAUCUUUUAUAUCUUGCAAACAUAAUCUUUAAUACAAUUUUCAGUUGCAAACGUAAUUUUCAUACAAUUUUCAAUCCCG
rnacentral:sRNA from 1 species